GUCUGGUCCAACAUUUUCAGCCUAGGCAAGUUGGGAACCAUGUAACUUUUAGAGAAACGAAACAAGAACAUAUUCCACCUAGAAAAGAGCACUUGCAAGAGAGAUAUUAUUCUAUAACAAAAACAGAAAAGAUCCAAAGAAUGUUAAGAAUUUCAAGGCUGAUACAUAUACUGCAAGGCAUAAACAUGAUCAAAAUAUGGAAAUAUAGAUGCCUUAAGAAUAGAUGUCUAUACAUAAAACAGAACUCAACAAGCAUAUCUAUAAACUGGUUUAGAAAGCAUAUGGCUAAUUCGUGGAGACAGAGAAUUGGGUACAUCGAAAUUGACAGUAGAAAUUUCAGCAGAGGUGACUGGUGAAUAGUUGCUGACAUUGCAACUGGGUUUCCGGACUGAUAGUAAGCAGUGUUGAUACAGUGAAAGUGAAACAGGCCGACCCGCUUCAUUAUGUAUGUCAGAUGCCAAAAAAAAUGAGUUCACAAGCAUCAUCCACUAUAACUAUUAACUAGCUCCAAAAAUGCUGACCAGGUUUCCCGGGGCAGAUAGUUAGGCAUGUUUAAUUUUUUAGCAGCAAAUUGACACCGGUGAAUAGACCAGUAGCCAUGAAUUUAUUAGGAUAAUUCACUCUAUGAAACUGCUAGCUUCAUCGAUACAUGGCAGCGUUCUAAUCAAGCUGACAAGGCAACAGUGUCAUUUCAGACUAGUACGAGACGCAUAGUUGGGCAGGCAGGAACGAUUCAUGAAAACAAGGGAGUGGCGAAGCCAAGCAUCAAAACCUUGAGGGAAGCGAGGACGCGAA
rnacentral:misc_RNA from 1 species